CUGUGUAUCUGUUUGUUCCUCCAGCCCUGUGUGUCUUUAUAUCCCCCCCAACUCUUCUGUGUGCCUCUUUGUUUAGCUAAGCCCCUCUAAGUGUGCUCCUCCUUGUCUCUUUGUCCCCGCCAAACCCUCUGUGUGUGUCACUUUGCCCCCUGUGUGUCUCUUUGCCACCCCUGCCCCACUCUGUGCCUUUUUGUCCACCCUCAGUCCCCUGGGUGUCUCUUUUUGCUGUCUUCCUCCUGCAGUGCCAGCUUACCUACUUGUAGCGUGGUCGAGUGAACUAUUCUGUCUGGGAGCAUUUCCUGUUAGACUGGGUAGAGGAUACAGAAGAUUCUCUACUGCGGUGCCUUGGCCACACUACAUGAAAUGAUUGGCAGGAGGGGAAUGCGUGGGACAGAGACACGCCGGCUGUGCGUGGGACAGAGACACGCCGGCUGUGCGUGGGACAGAGACACGCCGGCUGUGCGUGGGACAGAGACACGCCGGCUGUGCGUGGGACAGAGACACGCCGGCUGUGCGUGGCUGGGGGAGAGACAAACUGAGGGGACGGGAGAGAGACACACUGAGGGGAUGGGAGAGAGACACACUGAGAGGAUGGGAGAGAGACAUACUGAGGGGAAGGGAGAGAGACACACUGAGGGGAUGGGAGAGAGACACACUGAGAGGAUGGAGAGAGACAU